UACGUAGGGUGCAAGCGUUGUCCGGAAUUAUUGGGCGUAAAGAGCUUGUAGGCGGUUUGUCGCGUCUGCUGUGAAAUUUCGGGGGCUCAACCCCCGAACUUGCAGUGGGUACGGGCAGACUAGAGUGUGGUAGGGGGAGACUGGAAUUCCUGGUGUAGCGGUGAAAUGCGCAGAUAUCAGGAGGAACACCGAUGGCGAAGGCAGGUCUCUGGGCCAUAACUGACGCUGAGAAGCGAAAGCAUGGGGAGCGAACAGG
rnacentral:rRNA from 1 species